rnacentral:rRNA from 1 species
CAUGUAGGCGGUUUUUUAAGUCCGGAGUGAAAAUGCGGGGCUCAACCCCGUAUGGCUCUGGAUACUGGAAGACUUGAGUGCAGGAGAGGAAAGGGGAAUUUCCAGUGUAGCGGUGAAAUGCGUAGAUAUUGGGAGGAACACCAGUGGCGAAGGCGCCUUUCUGGACUGUGUCUGACGCUGAGAUGCGAAAGCCAGGGUAGCGAACG